rnacentral:rRNA from 1 species
GAUGAACGCUGGCGGCGUGCCUAAUACAUGCAAGUCGAGCGAACAGACGAGGAGCUUGCUCCUCUGACGUUAGCGGCGGACGGGUGAGUAACACGUGGAUAACCUACCUAUAAGACUGGGAUAACUUCGGGAAACCGGAGCUAAUACCGGAUAAUAUAUUGAACCGCAUGGUUCAAUAGUGAAAGACGGUUUUGCUGUCACUUAUAGAUGGAUCCGCGCCGCAUUAGCUAGUUGGUAAGGUAACGGCUUACCAAGGCAACGAUGCGUAGCCGACCUGAGAGGGUGAUCGGCCACACUGGAACUGAGACACGGUCCAGACUCCUACGGGAGGCAGCAGUAGGGAAUCUUCCGCAAUGGGCGAAAGCCUGACGGAGCAACGCCGCGUGAGUGAUGAAGGUCUUCGGAUCGUAAAACUCUGUUAUUAGGGAAGAACAAAUGUGUAAGUAACUAUGCACGUCUUGACGGUACCUAAUCAGAAAGCCACGGAUAACUACGUG